ACCUGACUGCUAUCGGAUUGAUACUAAGCCAUGCGAGUCAUUGUAGCAAUACAAGGCAUACGGCUCAGUAACGCGUAGUCAACCUAACCUAUGGACGGGAAUAACCUCGGGAAACUGAGAAUAAUGCCCGAUAGAACACUAUACCUGGAAUGGUUUGUGUUCCAAAUGAUUUAUCGCCAUAGGAUGGGACUGCGGCCUAUCAGUUUGUUGGUGAGGUAAUGGCCCACCAAGACUAUUACAGGUACGGGCUCUGAGAGGAGUAGCCCGGAGAUGGGUACUGAGACACGGACCCAGGCCCUAUGGGGCGCAGCAGGCGAGAAAACUUUGCAAUGUGCGAAAGCACGACAAGGUUAAUCCGAGUGAUUUGUGCUAAACGAAUCUUUUGUUAGUCCUAGAAACACUAACGAAUAAGGGGUGGGCAAGUUCUGGUGUCAGCCGCCGCGGUAAAACCAGCACCUCAAGUGGUCAGGAUGAUUAUUGGGCCUAAAGCACCCGUAGCCGGCUCUGUAAGUUUUCGGUUAAAUCUGUACGCUUAACGUACAGGCUGCCGGGAAUACUGCAGAGCUAGGGAGUGGGAGAGGUAGACGGUACUCGGUAGGAAGUGGUAAAAUGCUUUGAUCUAUCGAUGACCACCUGUGGCGAAGGCGGUCUACCAGAACACGUCCGACGGUGAGGGAUGAAAGCUGGGGGAGCAAACCGGAUUAGAUACCCGGGUAGUCCCAGCUGUAAACUAUGCAAACUCAGUGAUGCAUUGGCUUGUGGCCAAUGCAGUGCUGCAGGGAAGCCGUUAAGUUUGCCGCCUGGGAAGUACGUACGCAAGUAUGAAACUUAAAGGAAUUGGCGGGGGAGCACCACAAGGGGUGAAGCCUGCGGUUC
rnacentral:rRNA from 1 species